GAUGAAGAACGCAGCAAAAUGCGAUACUUGGUGUGAAUUGCAGAAUCCCGUGAACCAUCGAGUUUUUGAACGCAAGUUGCGCCCGAAGCCUUUUGGCCGAGGGCACGUCUGCCUGGGCAUCACGCAUCGCGUCGCCCCCCACAAAUUCUCCUCAGGGGAGCUUGUGUUUCGGGGGCGGAUACUGGUCUCCCGUGCUCAUGGCGCGGUUGGCCGAAAUAGGAGUCCCUUCGAUGGACGCACGAACUAGUGGUGGUCGUAAAAACCCUCGUCUUUUGUUUCGUGCCGUUAGUCGCGAGGGAAGCUCUUCAAACACCCCAGCGCGUCGUCUCUUGACGGCGCUUCGACCGCGACCCCAGGUCAGGCGGGACUACCCGCUGAGUUUAAGCAUAUCAAUAAGCGGAGGA
rnacentral:misc_RNA from 1 species